GUGCUUGCUUCGGCAGCACAUAUACUAAAAUUGGAACGAUACAGAGAUGAUUAGCAUGGCCCUGCGCAAGGAUGGCAUGCAAAUUCAUGAAGCACUCCAUAUUUCU